UACGUAGGGUGCAAGCGUUGUCCGGAAUUAUUGGGCGUAAAGAGCUCGUAGGCGGUCUGUUGCGUCGGCUGUGAAAUCCCGGGGCUUAACCCCGGGCGUGCAGUGGAUACGGGCUGGCUAGAGGCAGGCAGGGGAGAACGGAAUUCCCGGUGUAGCGGUGAAAUGCGCAGAUAUCGGGAGGAACACCGGUGGCGAAGGCGGUUCUCUGGGCCUGUUCUGACGCUGAGGAGCGAAAGCGUGGGGAGCAAACAGG
rnacentral:rRNA from 1 species